CAGUAGCCGCGGUAAUGCGAAGGGGGCAAGCGUUAAUCGGAAUUACUGGGCGUAAAGCGUGCGUAGGCGGUGAGUUAAGUCUGCUGUGAAAUCCCCGGGCUCAACCUGGGAAUGGCAGUGGAUACUGGCUCGCUAGAGUGUGUCAGAGGAUGGUGGAAUUCCCGGUGUAGCGGUGAAAUGCGUAGAGAUCGGGAGGAACAUCAGUGGCGAAGGCGGCCAUCUGGGACAACACUGACGCUGAGGCACGAAAGCGUGGGGAGCAAACAGGAUUAGAUACCCGAGUAGUCCCUGUCUCUUAUAC
rnacentral:rRNA from 1 species